UAUCAUGAUGAAAAAAUAUUUUAACACAGACCUGUACUGAACCUUUUGGUUUUGCAGAUAAACGAUAUUGCCUUUUUACUGAUU
rnacentral:ncRNA from 24 species